GAUGAACGCUGGCGGUCUGCUUAACACAUGCAAGUCGAACGAACUCUUCGGAGUGAGUGGCGGACGGGUGAGUAAUGUAUAGUUAACCUGCCCUCUAGAGAGGAAUAACAGUUGGAAACGACUGCUAAUGCCUUAUAUGCCUUUAAGACUGAAGUCUGCAAGGGAAAUGCUUUAGUGCUAGAGGAUGGGACUGUAUGGUAUCAGUUAGUUGGUGGGGUAAUGGCUUACCAAGACAAUGACGCCUAACUGGUUUGAGAGGAUGAUCAGUCACACUGGAACUGAGACACGGUCCAGACUCCUACGGGAGGCAGCAGUGGGGAAUAUUGCACAAUGGAGGAACUCUGAUGCAGCAACGCCGCGUGGAGGAUGACACUUUUC
rnacentral:rRNA from 1 species